rnacentral:rRNA from 1 species
UACGUAGGUGGCAAGCGUUGUCCGGAUUUACUGGGCGUAAAGAGCGCGCAGGCGGUCGUCCAAGUCGCGUGUGAAAGCCCCCCGGCUCAACUGGGGAGGGUCACGCGAUACUGGUCGACUCGAAGGCAGGAGAGGGUAGUGGAAUUCCCGGUGUAGUGGUGAAAUGCGUAGAUAUCGGGAGGAACACCAGUGGCGAAGGCGACUACCUGGCCUGUUCUUGACGCUGAGGCGCGAAAGCUAGGGGAGCAAACGGGAUUAGAAACCC